rnacentral:rRNA from 1 species
UACGUAGGGUGCAAGCGUUUAAUCGGAAUUACUGGGCGUAAAGCGUGCGCAGGCGGUUCGCUAAGACAGAUGUGAAAUCCCCGGGCUUAACCUGGGAACUGCAUUUGUGAUUGGCGGGCUAGAGUAUGGCAGAGGGGGGUAGAAUUCCACGUGUAGCAGUGAAAUGCGUAGAGAUGUGGAGGAAUACCGAUGGCGAAGGCAGCCCCCUGGGCCAAUACUGACGCUCAUGCACGAAAGCGUGGGGAGCAAACAGG